rnacentral:rRNA from 1 species
UACGUAGGGAGCAAGCGCUGUCCGGAAUCAUUGGGCGUAAAGCGCGCGUAGGUGGCUUCGUAAGUCCGUUGUGAAAGUCAAAGGCUCAACCUUUGAAAGCCGAUGGAUACUGCGGAGCUAGAGUACGGAAGAGGCGAGUGGAAUUCCUGGUGUAGCGGUGGAAUGCGCAGAUAUCAGGAGGAACACCAAUAGCGAAGGCAGCUCGCUGGGACGUUACUGACACUGAGGCGCGAAAGCGUGGGGAGCGAACAGG